rnacentral:rRNA from 1 species
UAAAUUGAGAGUUUGAUCCUGGCUCAGGAUGAACGCUGGCGGCGUGCUUAACACAUGCAAGUCGAGCGAUGAAGUUUCCUUCGGGAAACGGAUUAGCGGCGGACGGGUGAGUAACACGUGGGUAACCUGCCUCAUAGAGUGGAAUAGCCUUCCGAAAGGAAGAUUAAUACCGCAUAACGUUGAAAGAUGGCAUCAUUAUUCAACCAAAGGAGCAAUCCGCUAU